GACGAACGCUGGCGGCGUGCUUAACACAUGCAAGUCGAACGAUGAACCCGGAGCUUGCUCCGGUGGAUUAGUGGCGAACGGGUGAGUAACACGUGAGUAACCUGCCCUUGACUCUGGGAUAACUGCGGGAAACUGUAGCUAAUACCGGAUACGACCCUCGGCGGCAUCGCCAGGGGGUGGAAAGAAUUUCGGUCAAGGAUGGACUCGCGGCCUAUCAGCUAGUUGGUGAGGUAACGGCUCACCAAGGCGACGACGGGUAGCCUGCCUGAGAGGGUGACGGCGCACAGUGGGAGUGAGACACGGCCCGGACUCCUGCGGGAGGCAGCAGUGGGGAAUAUUGCACAGGGGGCGCAAUCCUGAUGCAGCAACGCCGCGCGGGGGAUGACGGCCUUCGGGUUGUAAACCUCUUUUAGUCGGGAAGAAGCGAAAGUGACGGUACCUGCAGAAAAAGCACCGGCUAACUACGUGCCAGCCGCCGCUGUAA
rnacentral:rRNA from 1 species